CACACACACACACAGGGACCCACUGAACGGUUUAGAUUCUUAGACCCACGAGAUGGCACCUCAACGCUUUCCCUGUUAGAGUGUUUUUGGUUCACAUGUGCAAAACUAACUCGGCCCAGCCCUCCGACCUUCUCAGAGCCGGGAAGUUUGUGCUAGAUAGUGCAUUGUUUCCCCCGGGGGCCACUGAAGAGAAGGCUGCGUCCAGCAGUCCAGCACGAGCUGGAGUCCUCAAAGGUGCUGUGGCUCACUCAGCCAAGCACAACAGGAAGGGAGGUCACUGUGGUCGUCAGUGCCGGCAGGCGUGUCCUCUCCCGCUGCCCUCACUGUCCUCCUUGCUGCUGUAACCUCCCCCGGGAGGCCCCUCCCCCCUCCACCAGUUCAGCUCAGAUGUUCACCAGCUCAGCUUAGAGGCCUGCAGCUUCAACCUCUGCCUCCGUGGGGGGUCCCGUAGGCACUGCCCAGCACACCCACCCUCCCCAGGCUGUGCUGUGCCCACCCAGCAGCCUUACUGACCUUGGAGGUCUGCCCACGAGGCAGCCACACAGAAGCACAGCCCUUGUGCUGGUACCUUCCCCACUUCUCCGCCUGCUGCAGGAAGGGCUUCAGGGCUCAUCUCUUCAGCUCUCACCGGGAAGGAGGACCGGCUGUACCCUCCUCCAGCCACAGGUCAGGAGCACUUGGAUUUGCUCCCCUCUGCAGCUGCUCUUGGCUCCCCACCUGCCUGAAGGUGGAGGACCCGUUAGCCAGAGCUAGCUGACCUUUCCCCCUCCACAGCAGACUGGAUGGUUCCGCACUGUUACUGUUGUAUCUGGCUGUCCCUCAAAGCCUCCUGUGGUCACAGGGAGGUGACUGGAUACUCAUCAGUGGAUAAGUUGGUGUGGGACAUGGGAGGUGGGCCCCAGGGGCUGCCUGGGAGGUCUGUCUCCCUCCUUCUUCCUGGGUCAUUCUCUGCUUCCUGCCUGCCAUGCUGGGAGCAGUCCUCCUGUGCCAUGCCACCCUGCCUCGGAGCCACCACUGGCCCAAGGGCUGACACCUCUACAGAAUGUAAGGCAAACGAAACCUCUACGUCCCUAAAUCGUGGGGUCGGGUAUUGUGUCUCAGCGCUGAGGAAAUCAAGUAGAAGGACACCUUUCCUUUCUCCGCUGCAAAAGGGCAUUUCUGGUGGUUGCUAGACCUUCUGGCUCCCUUCUGGGGCAGGAGAGCGCGUCUGAAUUCCUUUCUGGGCAAAAGGACUUGGAGCACGACCCUGCGGAUGCCUAGGAAAGCCGUGGUCAGAGCCCUGCUCUCAUCUCUUCUGCUCCAAGCCCGCAGACGCUCCAGGCAUCCCCUCUGCUUCUCUCUGGGUGGUGGAGUUCGACUUCUUCAUCUCCUUGUACAAAGUACUUUCUUUCAGCAAAUCACUUCCUCUCUGAUGCAGGCGAGCAGACACUCUUUCCAUACCUGAGGCGGGAAGAUAAUGCAGGAUGUUUGUCCCCACUCUUCCACCCCCCUGCCAAGACACUGCUGUGGGUCAAGGGCUCUUCUGGACGCAGUCCCGGAGGAUCCCCAGGUGGACUCACCUCCGCUCUUGAGCAGCAGCUCUGCCUGCUUCAGGGCCCAGUCUUCUACCUGUCUCAGGAGUUCAAAGACUGUGGCUGCUUUUCUCACCUCUGCCACCAAGGAGCAAGUGACGAAGCCUUCGCAGGCAAAUGGAUGUCAUCCUGUGAGAUCUGUUUCUCCAACUGAACAGCUUAACCCCAAGCAAUAUCGCAACAGGAAUGGUCUGAUGCACAGCAUGCAUUGGGCGGCGUGGGGAACAGUUAAGCACUGAGGUUCUGAAGUCAGACUGUCAAACUCAGAGGCUGUUGUUUGCCAGAGAACUUUGCCGCUUGCUCACUAUGAGAACUUGCACUUUGUAUUUUUCUACACAUCAGCAAUCAAACCAAUAGGUGAUAAGGAUUAUUUUUAAUGUUCCCAACAUUAACAGUAAUAUUUGAGAUAAUAAAUGUGCCAAUUACCCUGACCUGACCAUUACACAUUGCACAUGUGUAUGGAAGUCUCGCACCACAUAAUGCUGAUAUCUGUGGUGGACUAACUAAUGGUCAACUCAUAACCCCAGCUGAACUGAAUCAGCAAGGUGCUGGGUGCAGAAGGCCCACCUGAGGAUUGUUGUCAGCAGCAUAGGAGGAGAACUGGAGGGCAGAUGGUGGGCUGGUGAUUCUCCUGGAGAAGCUUGUCACACUGGUUUUCUGAUAUGUAUUCAGCUGUUAUCACUGGAGGAGCUCAGGUCCUCGCUCUCACCGAGCAUGGCUGCGGUUCUCUUUGCCGGAGCUCUGGUCCUUGCCUUCAGUGUGGAUCCCUCAGCUACUGGCACACAUCCUUCAUCCUGUUGGCGCAGACUUUCUAGCUUCCACCAGGGUCUUUGUGCCUUCCUGGUGCAGAUCCGUGAUUCAGACUUUCAAGAGACAUUGUUGUGGGCCCUAGGCCUCCAGCUGGACUCAUACAGGACACUGCCAUGGGAUCCAGGCCCUCGGCUGGAUUCUUUGGGUUUCUAGUGCAUGGCAGAUCCUCUGUGCUCUUCUGCAGUUAAACAUGCAUAAUUUUGGGGCAAACGUAAUAAAAUAAUCCUAUAAAUUAUGUGUCCUGUAUUAAAGCCACUCUCUUGCAAACGCCAACACAGUAUCAAUUUUAAAAAGUGUUAAAGAGCCAGGGAGUUAGCUCAGCCGCAUAAGUACCUGCCUGGUAAGUGCGAGGUUGUGAGUUCGAUCCCCACUACCACAAAAAAAAAAAAAAAAAAAAAGUGUUAAAGUAGGUAAAUUACAAAAUACCUUGGUAACCUGGUUAUCUAGAUCCGAUCAAUAACACAGCAAUUGGUUUGUUGUCUUUUCAGUUGCCCAUGAGCAGUCCGAAAUCUAUUAGGCCUUGAAGGAAAAAUCUCAACAAAGAGGAAAAACUUUUCUAUGUAGAAUUUUUUUUUUCUUUUUUACCGGUACUGGGGAUCGAACUCAUGACCGCCUGCUUGCAAGGCAGGUGCUUAUGCCGCUGAGCUCAAUCCCCAGCACAGAAAUUUAAAACUAUUUUAAAUUGUUCUUAGUACAAAGAGGCAUCACUAAUGGAAAUGACAGAUGAUGAAAACACAACGUAUAAAUUCAUGAGACACUACAGUAAAAUCCAGAGAAAAUUUCAUAGCUUUUAAGUACAUUAAAAGGGCCAGGGAUACAGCUUAGCAGCAUAAACACCUGCCUGGCAAGCGCAAGGUCCUGAGUUUGAUUGCAGGUACCAAAAAAAAAAAAAAAAAAAAAACAAAAACAAAACCUACUGGUACUCAUCCUUUCCUCCACCAUCCAUUCCACAUUCCUUCACUCUCAGCUGCCAUGUACCUGGUGCUGUGGCCCAAAACAUCAAGGGAUCUGAAGAUACCACAGUAAUCCUCCCCUCAGUUUGGGUUUCUGCCAUGUUUCUGCUCAGAGCGGAAUGGUUCGAGCGCACAUUGGGAGUGCUCCUCUGGUCACUGGUUCUGCCACCAUUGUAUAAAAGCACGUCCAGCCUGAGCAUGGCCAUUCAUCCCUGCCAUGCUGGUGGCUUUUUCACUCUCCUACAGUUCCCCAGGCACGAGGAGUCUGAGGUGUCCUGGUCAUAGCUAUAGCAGUAGCACAUCAAUGAUACCUUUGCUGUAAAUCUGGGUAAGAGUAUGUCCACUUUGGGAAGUGGACCUCUGAUCCUGUAGUACAAAGGAUGGGGAGCACGAAAGCCCCAGUGGGCCACUGGGAAUGACGCUGACUGGAGCAGUUCUGAGGUGGCUCUUUCACUUGCACAUCCCUGUGUUCCUCCCACUGGGGACAUAGCUCUGAUAGUCUCCGAUUGAAUAAGCACAUUGCAUCCUCAGGGGUGGUAACUCCAUUGAGCUCUCCAGGCUGGCAUCUCAGUUGCACCUCAAGGUGCUUGUCCCUAGAAGGCCAGCACAUGACUCAACUAGUGGACCCACGGGUCACAGGAUCUGUUUCUCCCACUUGCCAGGUGCCAUGCAUGUGGGAUCCAUGUCUGCGGGUCUGCUGUUCUUCUUAACAGGGAGCAUUGAGAGACAAGGACAGCAAAGGACAUCUCUGUUACAUUAGUUCUGAAACUUGUUUCCUGAUACAACUUUGCUUUUUUUAUUCCUUAACUCCUGCUUGCUUCAAUUUGUUAUUUCUUCCCUUAAUUUUUUGGAUUCUUAGUUUCUUAUUUAAGAUGCCUUUAAAGCUAUGAAUUCUCCUCUGGGUUCUAACUUAAUAGUAUUUUUUUUGUCCUGUGGAUCAAACCCCUUGCCAGGCAGGAGCUCAUGUUGCUGAGCUAUGUCCCUGAUCCCCUAUUUUUUUUUUUUGUCUUUUUCAUUUUUAUCGGUAUUGGGGAUCGAACUCAUGACCGCCUGCUUGCAAGGCAGGCGCUCAUGCCACUGAGCUAAACCCCCAGCCCCUGGUCCCCUAUUUUUAUAUGGAAUGUUUUCUUUUCCCAGAAUAGGGAUCCAUCCUUGUGAGGGCAAAGUCCUGGCCCUAUUAGGACAGGAGGGAUUGCAUGUAGCCAAUUUGCCACCAAGUAGCCACUGGUCUCAAGUGAUAGUCCUCUGCUGCUGACAAAAUGAACUUUUGUGAGUUGCAGUAAGGGGCCAGUGCUGGUAAAUCAGUCCCUGUGAUCAGCCCUGUGUGUGACUGCUGACGGCGUGGCCAUUCGGGUAUCUGGAUAGCUCAUUCCUCUCAGGACCCUUCGUGUUCAGGGACCUGGCCUGAGGGCCAAACCAGCGGGCCACUGCUUAGGAACCUGUCUUCUCAUCUUGGAGCACUUCUACAAGUGGGGUGUCAGAGUCCCUGCAUGGAGCCUCUCUGGACAGGGCUAGCAUCUCUGAAUGCGGUUCCAGAUCCCUGCCAAACCCCACCUGCAAGCUAAGUCACCUAUAAGCCAAGCUUGGAGUUACUCCUGCUCGCUCAGCUAGCGGGGGACAGUUUGCAUAGGAGAACGCUUGGUGCAUCUGGACCCAGGAUUGAGGGCCUAAACAGCCCACAGGGCAGCCCAAUUGUGCACUUUGGCCUUGUCACCCCGAGGUACGGUGUGCUUGUGGGCAGACGAAGUGACUUGAGGGUCACAAUGGGAAGUGCAUGUAGUCACUGUUUGUUCCUGGUUUUCACCAAGGCUCUGCAACGUGCCAGGAGCUGCUCGUUAAAGGCUCCAGUGGCUGAAUUCAAUUGGGCAUCAGUUUCAAGUUACAGGGUUGCUUCUACCAGAUGUGAUCAGUGGUGAACUGGAACAUCUCUAGGCACAAAGCCUCCAUUUCUGAAAUGCGGGAGUUGAACGUGACUUUAUCAUUUCCUGAGUCUCAUAUUCUGUAUUCUGCUGCUUAAGAGUAAAGAUGUCAGGAAGCCAAAGAGAACUCAGCCUUCUCAGACCAGGAGUGGGUUGGACUGUGUGCUCAGCCACUAAGAUUUAAAAUGAGACCGUGGCAUUCUUGGCGUUUACACAGGUGAUUGGCAUCUUUUCUAAGAAGCACUCAUCAGGGAACAUUUCUGGCUUGCAGGCCAUGCAGUCUCCGCUGCAGGCUCUGUCCUGGUCACACACAGCCCAUGAAUGGUAAGUGUGGUCAUGUGGUAGUUCGCGAGCUCCUGGUUUAGAUCACAUGACCUUUCUCCUUACCAUCUCAAGUCAUGCAAAGAAACGACAGGAAGAAAUCACACUUCACUAAUGUAAUUUUAUUAGCUAUUGGUAUAUACAAAACUGCUCUUUUGCCUCUAAAAAUAAUCCACGAGUUAUCAUAAUUUCAAGCUAUACAUAUGGAAUGGAUUUAUAAAAUAUACAAGAUAAUCAGCACUUGUUAUCUGCAUUCAUCAGAAGCCUUCAGGAGAGCAGCAUUCUUCUUAUAUUUUUCUGCAAUCUCUCUAAUAUUUUCCAAAAGAUCUUCAGACAUGCAUUCCUCGUACUCUCUAUCAGCUUUAGUAUUCUGCUCCUCAAGAUGUUUCUAGCGAAAACAAUGAGCAAUAAUUAAGAAACAAAGCAGAAUACACCGAAGUUUUAAGAACCUUGCUCAGACUACAGGAAAGCCUUUCACAUUUACCUCCACGGACCCUACAUGGAUGGCGACCAUCUCUAGGAGACGCUGCAAGUUACUUCCCACUUUCCUUCUU